rnacentral:rRNA from 1 species
AAGUCGCCCAAUUGACGAGAUUUCUUUCCGACUCAACCGCUUAAUAUUUUGCGGUUGCAUUGCUUUCGCCAAAAAUGAGCUAAGAUUUGAGCGUCAAUGGCAUCGGUUUUUGGCUAAUUUACCAGUGGCUUUUAGCAAAGUCUCUUCCUUGACGGGGAUUGAUUAAGGCUACAGGUAAAUCCGCUUCUUGUAAUUGAAUCACCAGUUCAGUUUCUUAAACCUCCUGUCGCUUCAUGAACGAUGAGGUUGACAGUGUAGGAUUUUAGGGGUUUCGACCAGUUUUAGAUAUGUCCUCCUUUGUGUUUAGCAACUUUCAUCGCUUUUACUGAGGGGACGAAGGUAAACAUCUAGGUCGCUUUACUAAUGUCAAUGCCUACCCAUUGAGAGAUAUUUUCCAUGAUUGAACCUAACUAAAGCAAUGCAGAAUUGAUGGUUACUUUUGGAGAGCAUCCCCUUGAUUUUACUCAUCCUUGCCCGAUACGGUCUCUUAGCUUAACAAUUGAUUGUUUUCGCCACGACCCCGGCGACUGUUCGAGUUUUGUCAGGGAGAUUAUGGUGGUGACCCUUGCUACGAAGCGGUCUUUUCUGACCAAGGUUGGGACGGUCUACCACCUCUCUCAAUAUACAAGG